UACGUAGGGUGCAAGCGUUGUCCGGAAUUAUUGGGCGUAAAGAGCUCGUAGGCGGCUUGUCGCGUCGGCUGUGAAAACCUGGGGCUCAACCCCGGGCCUGCAGCCGAUACGGGCAAGCUAGAAUUCGGUAGGGGAGACUGGAAUUCCUGGUGUAGCGGUGAAAUGCGCAGAUAUCAGGAGGAACACCGGUGGCGAAGGCGGGUCUCUGGGCCGGUACCGACGCUGAGGAGCGAAAGCGUGGGGAGCGAACAGG
rnacentral:rRNA from 1 species